rnacentral:rRNA from 1 species
GACGAACGCUGGCGGCGUGCUUAACACAUGCAAGUCGAACGGAAAGGCCCUGCUUUUGUGGUGUGCUCGAGUGGCGAACGGGUGAGUAACACGUGAGUAACCUGCCCUUGACUUUGGGAUAACUUCAGGAAACUGGGGCUAAUACCGGAUAGGAGCUCCUGCUGCAUGGUGGGGGUUGGAAAGUUUCGGCGGUUGGGGAUGGACUCGCGGCUUAUCAGCUUGUUGGUGGGGUAGUGGCUUACCAAGGCUUUGACGGGUAGCCGGCCUGAGAGGGUGACCGGCCACAUUGGGACUGAGGUACGGCCAGGACUCGUACGGGAGGCAGCAGUGGGGAAUAUUGCACAAUGGGCGGAGGCCUGAUGCAGCAACGCCGCGUGCGGGAUGACCGCUGUCGGGUUGUAAACCGCUUUCGCCUGUGACGAAGCGUGAGUGACGGUAAUGGGUAAAGAAGCACCGGCUAACUCCGUG